rnacentral:lncRNA from 1 species
CGGGGCGAGGGGCAGGGCGCCGGUUCCCGAGGCUGCCGCCGGUGUUCCGGGCUCGGCGGACCCCCGGGACGGAGAUGCCCAGGACCGCGUACCACGCACCUGACAGUGACAACGACUCUACCCCGCUCGCACCCGCACCCGGUGCUGCAGCAGCCCGGACGCCAGGGUGGCGAGAACGAUUCACCUCGGGAACCCAGCCUGGCUCGGGACUUCCUGCGGCCACAGGUCCUCGCCCCCGCGCCCAGCGCUAGAGUCCCCGGGGGCGCGGGUCACCUGGCGCUGGGGUCGGGGAGGGGGGGCGCACGGCCCCGAGAGCCCGUUCGCCGGGGGUCCCGCGGGCAGCGCCCCCUGCCCCAGCGACCCCGGGCCCCGCUGCACACCCUUCCCCCGGGGCUGACACUCACCAGCCGCGCGGCCCCCGCGGGGAGGGCGCCGGCGCCCGGGGCCCCGCUCCGCCCCAACCCUGUUUCAGUCCCCCUAUCCCUUACCUUGCUCGCCGGCGGGAGCGGGCGAGGAGGCUCCGCGGCGGCUCGCGGGCGGCUGCUCGCUCCAGGCGAGCUCGGGGCCCGACGAAGACAGCCCGCGCCCGCCGCCCGCCCCGCGCCCGCCGCCCCGGGCCCGCCGCCCCCAGUCACUAAGGCCGGCCUGCGGCCGGACACUGGCAGAGCACAGGAGGAGCGGGCCCGGGUGCGCGUCGCCGGCGUCAACGUGCCCGACGUCGGGCGCGUCGGCGCAGCGUCAGCGCCGAGCGCCGCCGGCACGCCCCGCCUCGUCCCCCGGGGGGCGGGGGCCCAGGAGCAGGGCUGGCCUGGCGAGGUGGCAGGGGAAGGCUGUGAAGCCGGGAAACCUGUGGGCCGGGAGAGGGAGCGACCCUUGUCAAGGAAACACUCGUUCAAAUCCUCCUUCGUCGUCCGGGAAAUCUCCCGCGAAGCACGUACACUUGGACCCUUCUUUCCCUUCUUCUCAGGGGAAAAAGGAUUGAGAGCAGAACGUGGCUCUUAA